UAUAAGUUUGAAGAUCUUCUGAAGAAAUACGAGAUCACUGAAGACAAAGGCAUGCAAGAGGACAAGCUUGAAAACCGAAUGAAAAAUCUUCAGAAUGAACUAACCUUUAAAUACUUUGGCGAGCCUCAACUGUCGAUCUGGUGUCAGUUGACCAUAGAUCGUGCUACCAGCCAAGGAGAGCAAUCGCUCACUGAGCAGUUUAGCAUCCUCACGGCUGUGACAGAGCUAACGUUGACCAACGACUCGGACACAGACAGUAAAGAGGACCAACUACCUGAAUGGGACCAGAAGUAUGACUUUCUCAUCCGUCUUCUUGAACAGCUGUACAGCACAAAUCCCACAGUGGCUCAACAACUUGUUCUGAGCACUCUUGACGUGUUCACAGAGGUGUCAGAGAAAAACAAGGGGCUCCUUAGUCAAAUUCUCUUCAACAUGAUCUGGACACCUUCAGAAAUUCUGCUCUUUUUGCGAGGUGUUUCAGGCAUAAACCAAGAGUUAGCAACCUCAAUCCUUCAUACUGUGCAGACAAACAAGCUGGAUAUUCUCUCUACUCUCUCUAACCUGAAAGAUAAAGACCCUGUCAACUUUCUACAAUGGUAUGCUGAGGCAGAAGGGGACAAGGAUGCCGACACCAUUGUGAAUGAAAUGCAAAAUUAAAAGUACCCAGAGAAAAUAUUGUCUAUAAUGAAGGAAAUUCUAGGAUAUAUGACAGAGGAACUUCCAAAACAUGCAAAGGAGGACUUGGAUCAGGUAAAGAUAGAGGAAGCAAAGCAGAUGAUCAAGUCACUGGAUUUUACUAACCCUGACCUUGCUGUUCUCAAGGAGGUCCUAAUAAGGAUGUCUAUGGCUGUGCAAGACUGCUCAACCAUUUACACUCAAAACGGUAAGAACAUAGAAGGCUACUUUCCUAGCAUCACUCCGCUGGAAUCACUGCUCACUGCUGAGAAAAUAGAAGGGUACUUUCCCGGACUCACUCAGUUGGCAUCACUGCUCCUUCUACAAAAGUUAACAGGGAAAAAAGGUAUCCUUCUGGAAAUCGGCACAGGUGAAGGAAAAUCUUGCAUCUUGGCUAUGUUUGCCACCAUCCAGGCCAUCCGUGGCACUAAGGUUGACGUUGUGACCAGUUCUCGAGUCCUUGCUCGGCGAGACCAAGAGGAGUGGAAGAAACUGUAUGACAUGUUUGGUGUCACAUCCUCUGUUGUGCCACCACCACAGAUACAGGGAAGCUCCCCUGAAAGCAGGGAUAGUAUGCUACAGGAGGCUUACAGGAAACGAUUUGUUAACGGAACCGUUGGCAGCUUUGCAGCAGACGCAUUGAGGCAGGAAUUCGAGAAGGACACCACACGUGGGGAGAGGAGGUUCGACAUGGUGAUUGUGGAUGAAGUGGACUACAUGACCUUGGACAAUGGAGUUCAGGUGACAUUUCUAUCCCACGAGGCAAGUGGCCUGAGGCACCUCGGACAAGUCCUUGCUAGCAUAUGGGCCAUGGUAUCUAUGUGUCAGCCAAUUGAGAUGGAAGAUACUGGAGAGAUCGAGUGGGCAACUGGAAUCCAGCAUUUUCACAAGGCUGCAAAGUUAGCUGUUAUCGGUCCAGCGACAUCUAAAGAAUUCCCUGAAUUUCAUAUUUUGGAAGCCGGAGUGGAGUUGGGUAUCUAUUCAGAUGAAAAUGUUGAUAUGUUCAUGCAUGCUCUAGAGAACACAGAGAAAGACGAUACAACGGAGAACAGGAUAACUGUUGAUACAUUCUUGGCCAAAGUUGGAAUUACUCAACAGUGUGAUCUGCUCACCAUCAUGGAGAAAGCACUGGAGAAUGAUGUGGUCAUUGACUGUUACUCUGUGACAAACAAUAAAGCUGUGCUGGUUGAGGAGAAAAAGUUGCACAACAACCCUGAUAUCCUGGAAAUCAAAAUGCUUCUCCUCGAGAAUGGACGAGCCAGCGAGAUCAUACCUGAAGACAAACUCAUUAAGGCAACAGUCUCUGAGCUGAAGUCUAAAAUCAAAUAUUCGGGCAGCUCUCAGUCAAACUCAGAGUUUCUUGUGAUCCCCUCUUUCCUUGAGAAUUACCUUGAGAAUCAGUUACCAGUCUUUGUGGAAAACGCCCUGAAAGCCAUCAUGAUGACACAAGGCAGAGAGUACAUGAUUGAUCAGACGUUGGAAGCUGACGGAGACAAGCAUCUCUACCAUGCUAUCAUCCCAGUGGACUUCCGGGCCAGUGGAGUGUUGGAGAAGAACAAACGCUGGGGGGACGGCCUGCAGCAGUUUCUGGAGAUGAAACACCAGCUGGCAACCACUCCUUUGUCCAAUGUGACUAAUUACCUUUCAAACUUCCAUUACUUUCAAAAGUACCUGAAAGGGAAUGGGAUAUUUGGUGUGUCUGGGACAUUGGGGGGUGAUGCCGACAAAGAUUUCCUUGCAAGGCAUUACGAAACAGACAGCUACAUAAUACCAGCUCAUCGCCAUAAGAAGGUUGUUGAGCUUCCAGCAAUUCAGGUCAGUGGGCAAGCCCAGUGGAUGGAGAUCCUCUGUAAGACAGCAAUGAGGGUGGCAGAAAGUGGUCAGGUUGUCUUGGUCGUAUGUGAAGAUGUCAAGACCGCAAACGAGCUUCUGAAGAAAAUAGAGAGCGAGAAUCCACAUCCCCCCCAUCACAUUAUACACAAUCAGUGAGAAACACAACAUUGAGAGAACCAAAUUCAGAGGCGGACAUGUAAUCAUAGCCACAAAUCUAGGAGGUCGUGGAACUGAUAUCAAGGUUGAUCAGGAUGUCAACAUAGGUGGUGGCCUCUUCGUCCUCCUGACACAUUACCUGGCAGUCGCAGAGUGGAGAAACAGGUGUUUGGAAGAACUGGUCGGAAACCCGGGCAUGGUCCAGAUGAUCCUUUGUGGGGAUAACCUUGCCCCAGCAUACCAGGGCUAGCCUGUGGAGAUCAUGAGACAAUUGAGAGAGGAGUACGAAGUCCAACGCAUCAAAGAUAUGGAGACAAAUGAGCUUCUCGAAAUAAAAAUGAAAGAGGACCUGUUUGGCACGUUUUGUGAAUUUCUUGACAAGUUUCAUGGCAACUUCACAAAACAGCAGAGAGAUGACCUGUCAGGAAUGGGGCCGAAUGAUGUCCCUGAGUGUUUUAAAGAAAAGGGCCCUAAGUUUGAUUACCAGCCUGCACUCAAUGCUUUGAAAGAAACAUGGGCGUUGUGGCUUACCCUUCACGAGGAGCACAUCCGUCAGCACGAAUAUAUCAGUCUUCUUAAAGCAGACCUUCUUGAGCAUAUCACAAAUAGGGGCAACAUGCUGCUGAAUGGAAAAAGUCAAGACUUACACCUCCGCAACAAAAGUAAGUGUGACUAUGAAGCAAAGUCCUACUGGAAAGAUGUUGAAGAAUGUGACCCUUUUUACAGUGCCGUGGCAAUGUACAACCAAGCUUUCAUCACCAUCAACAUGGGAAAAGAUGGCUACAAAACAGAGGCAUGGAAAUUACUGGAAAGGGCAAAGACAUCUGUGGAUGUUUACUUGUCAGAAACCACAAAUACCAUGGUUUCUUUUCAGAUUGCCACAAAAGGGAACUUUGAACCACAUCAUGAAGGAGAAUGCAACUUUCUAAAGCAAAUAGAUUCCAGGAUGAGCAUUCACAAAGCUUGGAUACUUAACAUUGACCUUGCAGUAAAUAAACUUAAAGAGCUUGAGGGUGAAGGCACAGCCAUAACAGAGGUAUCCUCAGUGUACAGCCUCUCAGAAAAUCAAGACUACAUCACAGGAAAUGAACUCACGGCCUUGUAUGACAAUGGCCUGAGCAUUGUGUUUGAGGUGAAAAAGAAGCCAGAGUUCAGCUUUGACGCUUUGAUCUGUUUCUUCAUCAGUAUGUGUCAGGUCAUCCUUGGAGUUCUGGUUUGUGCCCUGUCGUUUGGCGCUGCAACCCAGAUUGGCUUAUUUCUCAUCUCUGAAGGAGUCUCUGACAUGAUUGAAGGGAUAUCUGGCAUGAUAUCGGGCACAUUCGAUUGGGCACAAUGGGCCAUCUCCAAAAGCAUCAGCAUUGGGAUGUCUCUGCUCUCCGCAGGGUUCAGCACCAUUAAAAAAGUUGCCAACACAGCAUAUAAAGUCCUCAAUGGUACUAUGAAACUCUCAUCUGUUGCAAAGGAUAUCAUUGGCACAGGAAAAUAUGUUUUCAAGUCCUCACAGGGAGCAGCAAAGUCUAUCUCCAAAGAAACAAUUAAGACUGCAACGAAGAAACUGGCAUCCCCUACAAACAUGAAGAUGGCUCUAAAACACGCAACCAAGUACGCAUUUCAGGAGGUAGGGAAGCAGGGUGUAAUCACAGGAAUAAACUAUGCCAUUGAUGCUGGAAUUGGGGCCAUCUUUAAAACAAUUUUAGAAAAAGCUUUCAAAGACAUGGUCAAUUCAACAGUCAAAAAGAAUGCCGAACUAGUUCUUAGUCUCACUGAAUACAUUAGCUCUGCAGUACCUAAAGGAGCUUUGCAGAACCACAGCAACUAUAAGAUUGACUCAAAGCUUGAACAACAAACAAAAGAUUUAGUUCAAGUUAUGACAAAAUAACUUAUUCCUGGCCUCAUGACUGAUGCCACCACAUCCCAAGUCAGUGAUGUUAUCAACAGACUCUCUGAGGUGUGCAAUAAUGCAACUGACCUUGUGGCAAAAAGUGGAACACAUUUUAUCGCAAAAGGAGUCAAAAUAAGUGUAGAAAUAGCUAAACACACAACAACCUUGGUCCAAAUGAUUCAGUCUAUUCCUACAGAACAUGUUAUCAAUGACAUAUUUGUCCUCAAAUUAAAAAAAUAAAUUGAAGAGCAGCAAAGAUAUGUGGAGCAGUAUGACCAAGAUGGCAGACAUGAUUUACCAGAUGUGAUUCGCCUAAAGGAUGAGUUCCUAAGCUCCAUUUCGGAAAGUGUCUCCGAAGCGUUCAUAGAUGCUUGUGCUGGUCAUAUGUCCUCUUUUGUGACGGGAACAUUCAAGAAGAAGCUCAAUGGAGUUACUGGAAAAGUUGUUGACAAUGUACUUGGCAGACACAAAACUGAGGCCUUUUUCCAGGACCGGCAGCAUAAACAUGAUAUGAAGUCAGCCAGUCAGAAGAUUGGGAAAGCUCCAUCAGAGACUGAAACAAAAUAACUUCUGGACUAUGCAGAGAAGAUUGGUGUUGUUAAUCAACCAGCCUCGGCCCUGGACAUUUAUGUCCUCACAAACAGUGACCUACCCCAUGGUAAAGGCAUCCAGUUCAAGGCAUCCAAAUCACUCUACGGCUGACCAAAGAGCCUGAGAAAACACACAGUGAGAAAGGAAUCCUCUCUAAAGCAAAAGACAGAAUCCAAGGAGUGGAAAGUCCAUACAGUGGUCACUUUGACAUCAUCCAAGAUGGCAAUGUAAUCCCUGUGCACUCAGAGAACAAGAACUGCCUGUACCAUGCCCUAGCACAGGCAACAUCUAACAGGUCUGAGGAUGAGAUCACGAGUCAAGCUGUGAAUCUACGAAACAAUGUUAAAGACCAG